rnacentral:rRNA from 1 species
GACGAACCGUCCAAACGUUAUUCGGAAUCACUGGGCUUAAAGGGUGCGUAGGCGGCCCGGAAAGUUGUGUGUGAAAGCCCUCGGCUCAACCGAGGAAUAGCGCGCAAAACUACCGGGCUUGAGGGAGACAGAGGUAAGCGGAACUUAGGGUGGAGCGGUGAAAUGCGUUGAUAUCCUAAGGAACACCAGGAGCGAAAGCGGCUUACUGGGUCUCUUCUGACGCUGAGGCACGAAAGCUAGGGGAGCGAACGGG